CAUUACUGAGUUUACGCUCUAUAACCCUUUGUGAACAUACCUAUAACUGUUGCUUCGGCGGGUAGGGUCUCCGCGACCCUCCCGGCCUCCCGCCUCCGGGCGGGUCGGCGCCCGCCGGAGGAUAACCAAACUCUGAUUUAACGACGUUUCUUCUGAGUGGUACAAGCAAAUAAUCAAAACUUUUAACAACGGAUCUCUUGGUUCUGGCAUCGAUGAAGAACGCAGCGAAAUGCGAUAAGUAAUGUGAAUUGCAGAAUUCAGUGAAUCAUCGAAUCUUUGAACGCACAUUGCGCCCGCCAGCAUUCUGGCGGGCAUGCCUGUUCGAGCGUCAUUUCAACCCUCAAGCUCUGCUUGGUGUUGGGGCCCUACAGCUGAUGUAGGCCCUCAAAGGUAGUGGCGGACCCUCCCGGAGCCUCCUUUGCGUAGUAACUUUACGUCUCGCACUGGGAUCCGGAGGGACUCUUGCCGUAAAACCCCCCAAUUUUCCAAAGGUUGACCUCGGAUCAGGUAGGAAUACCCGC
rnacentral:rRNA from 1 species